CUCCGCAACCAACUCUGCGUCUGAAAAUUCUUGGAAACCUUCCCAAGCAUCUCUAGUCCCAUGAAAUACAAGAGGAGCACCUUCGUGUUUACAAAUAGCUGCGUACACGCAGAGAGUGCCUAUAAUAUGCAUCAAACUAUAAGGUGAAAACCCAAAUAUUCCGGAAGGCCGGUGUAUGGACCAAGCUAAGCCCUCUCUUUUGUCAACUUCUUCAAACAAUAUAUCUUCCUGAUUAUAGUAAAAAAGCGGCACGUUUAGUCUUGGCAAAUCCUCAGUAAAAGGCGGAUCGUGAGACGGUAUCUUGCCAAUACACUCGAAUGGACCCACGUAAUGUUUGCCUCCCGUUUGGAGACAGAUGUGGCGGACAUUAGGCGCAUUCGGGAUUACAGAACGGAGCACGUUACGAAACAUGGCGCCGUUGAUCUUGCAAUUCUCGGCUUCAGUGGGACGGCUGGCCCACGUCACAUAGAAGAUGUGGGUGACGUCAGUGAGUUUUGAGAGCUUGGCUUGCGUAUCAUCCCGGUCGGAAAUGUCGCAUUGGAUGUAAUCAAUAGGGUACCUGGCGUUCCAAUUAGGCCUGGGGCGUCGGGCCACCCCGUGGACCUUCCACGGGCCACCGGGGGUAUCUGGUCGGGGCAAAAUCUCAGCUAGGCUGUUGCCUACAAUUCCUGUCACGCCUACUACAAGUCCCACGUUCUGGUAGUCUUGAGGUCGCGCAUCUUCUUCCAAUUUGUUCUGUACAGCGAAAAUUAAACAAACAUUAUUUUAAAUAUCAGCAUGUUACGUGUAUGUAUAAGCUUUUCAAGUGAAGAGAGACAAUUAGGGGGUCGAUCUUUACCUUAGCAGCGCCAAUACUACCUGCCCACCGCCAGCUCAUUUUUUGAUGAAUCUGGAAAAUUGAUGAUAAGUUUAGAGACUGCUUAUCUAUAAACAAUUAUACGAGCACUUUCUAGAAGGUAAUUUUCAGUUGAAGUUAGAUAAUGUGAAUAUGUGAUCAAUAAUGAAAGAUCCAAUAUCAUAAUGUGUGGUGAAAUGUGGUUCCGGCUAAAGGCCAAGCUUCACACUGUCAUUGUCAGUCAGUUUGCUUUCCCGCAGUUUUCAAGCUCGGUGCCAACUCAAAUAAAUAAGUAGGCCAGUGUCGGUGACCAUUGCAAUAAAAUCGCCCUAUGAUUAUUACGGAAGCUUCAGUACGUGGACCCUGAGUUUUAAACCUAAAAUCAAAUAUAUGUCUCUUUACUUUUAUAAUUUGCUUAAGGCACACCAGUCAGUUUUGGGACAAAAAGAGUCUUCGAUUUGUAUUUUCAUGGAAAUAAUCAAAACAUUUGAUAUUGAGGUACUGUAACUUUGAAAUUAUAAGUACAAUUAAAAAAAUAAUUGUAACUAUGAAUUAAAAAUUAAUAAUUUCUAGUAAAUAUGACUAUUAAAUAAUAAUUUUGAUAAAAAUAAUAUAUAUAUUAUAGUUUAUUCGUCAUACAGGUAUGAGAUUAAAUUAAUUUAAUUUAUAAAUCAAAGCUAGUAUAUACUAAAUAGUUGUAACUUUUAAGCUGUAGCUACUUAACUUUAAUAUCAAAAUAGGCCUUAGAGCCCGUUUGGAAUUAUUUUUAGGAGUUCCCAAAAGUAAUUUUGAAAAAGUAAAUGUCAAUUUUGGUGUUCGGAAAAUUUUUAAAAAAAUUACUUUUAGCAAGAUCACCCCAUCCUAUAGCAAGUUUUUCAAAAUAGGGAUGCAGUAUCUUUUUAGUAUCGGAUUUUGAAAAUCAGUUUUAUAUUUAAUACAAUUUCAUAAAUCUUCAAAUAUAUUAUAAAAAUCUAAAAUUAUCCUUAUUAAUUACGAAAUAAAAUAAUUAAUUUUAAAGAGAUUGUUAUCACCAAUUAUAUUAAGAUAACCAAAUAAAAUCAAUAAUUUAAAAUAUUUAUUUUAGUUAUCAAUUAUUAUAUAUAUACAAUAAAAAAUAUUUUUCAUACAUGUUUAUAAAAUGCGUAAAUAAAUUAAAUAAAUUUUAUUCAACAUUGUGUCCAAUUAAUUUAUUUAUAUUCUUACAACAGUUUAAUAGUAAUAUGAUUAUAGAAGCCAAAACAUCAAUUUUUUUGGUUAUCAAAUGGUGUAAAAAGUCAAAUGAACACAAAAUGCAUUUGUAGUCUAUUGAAAUAUCAAAAUUGUAAAUACACAUAGGAACCUCGUACAAGCGAUUGUGAAACUCGAUAUAUGAAUAAAUGAAGAAUUCUUUUUUUUCUCUUAAAUUUUAGGAAAUAGUUAAAGAUGUUCAUAUGAAUGAAUGGAAGUUUUUUUUUUCUCAUCUCAUUAAUUCAUGUGAAUAUCCAUGAAGUUUAUUUGAAUGAACAAUUUUUUUUUCUCAAUAAAUAUGCCAUAAUGAAAAAAGUUUUGGCUCUUGUGUAAAAUUUGAAAAUCAUAAAAAAAAUAUAUCAAUAAAAUAAUUCUACAUAAUCUAUGCUCACCAAUUAUUAGGGAGGGUAAAUGCUCAUUUAAUCCAUAUAUUUUGACAUAACUAACUUUUCAACCAUAUUAUUGUUGGAAAAAAAAAACAGUCCUUUGAUUUGUAAUUUUUAGCUAGUUAUACAAAUUUUGCAAGUUUCUAAAUCUCACCUCCACUAGGCAAACUUACGUAAAUAAUCAAAAGAGAGACGUCAUAUUUAAUUUAGAAGUUGCUCUCGUUUAGGCCCUAUUUGAUAUUGAAAUGUUGUAGCAUAGUAAGAAAAAAGAAAAACAAAGUUGCAACUAUUAAAAAAAAUUUGAUAAUGUAUAAUAAAAUAAUUAUUAAAUAAUAAUUUGACAAAAAUAAUAAAGACACUAUAGGUUUUUUCAUACAAGUGUGGGAUCAAAUCAACUUAAUUUCUAAGCUACAAUAGCUAGUGUUUACUAAAUACUUUGAUACUGUAACUUUUAAGAUACAGCUGCCCAACCUUAGGUUUAAAUCGUUUAUAAGGUAAUAAUAGACAUGACUCUAGAAGCUAAAACAUCAAUUUCUUUUCUUUUUUUAAUUAUCAGAUAGUGUAAAACAUCAAACGGAAACAACUAAAUAUGUGAUCCUAUUGUUGUGAAUAUAUCAAAAUUAUCCUCAAAUUAUGAAUCUCUGCCAUUUACAAAAAAGAAUUUAGUACAAGUGAAUGUGAAAGUUGAUAUGCAAAUAAAUGAAUAAUUCUUUUUUUGAAACGACCCGUCCCGCACCCCAGGGCGAGUCUAUCUAAACUCGUAUAAUCGAAUCGAUAAUAAUUAUGAUAUCUAAGAAUUCUAUCAAAAAUUCGACAGAAUCUCCCCUAUAAAUAAAACAUCCCCAAACCUGCAAUUUACAAAAUAAUUCAAUAUCCAUCCAUCCUUCAUAACCAACUUCUCAAGUCAACAUAUCAAAUAUCACCCAAAUCAUUCUAAUAUUAAAAUACAAUGGUUAUCCUUAAUUACAAAAUUAAUAAAUAAAUACAAUUCGCAAUAUCCCAAAUAUCAAAAUAUUAAAUCUACGACUCCUAGCACCAUCACAUGGCCACAAUUUCAAAUCUAACUAUCGUUGCUGGGUCGACUGAUAUACCUGCAAAUCUCCUGUGAGGGGGAAAAAUAUAAUAAAAAUUGGGUAAAUAUAAAACUCAGUGAGCUCAGUGAGUGUAUAGUAGUUUUUGAAAAAAUAAAUUUAUUUAAAAUAAUUUAAACUUUCUCAAAUCAAUUUCAUCAAAAUAUCAUAAGAACUUAUAUAAACAUAUUCAAUUCAAAUCAUUCAUUGAAAUAACUAUAUUACAUAAAUCUGCAUAAAAUCAAUGAAAUCAUAAUAAUUAUAAUAUCAAAUGCUGAAUAUAAAAAACUAUCAUCAAACAAGUACCCAGGGAAAUGAUCUCAUCAUAUCCGGACCUCGACGGACGGGCAAUCAGGGAACCAUCAUGCCCUGGAGCUACAACGGAUAGACGGGGAAAUCUCAUCUCAUAUCUCAUGUAUUUGAACAUCUGUAUCUCUAUAAUCAUCAUACUGCAUGCAUAAGCCCCCAAAAGGCAAAAGCGCCCAAACACACGGCCCAAAGCCUCUAUGUGUGUUCAGACGGGCCCCAAAGGCCUCUAUCUCAUCUCAUAUGUAUCUCUGUAUUCAUCUCGUAUUAUCUGUAUCUCUGUAUCUGGAGAGGAAGGGUACUGUCCAAUGAUUUUUCAAACAACAUUUUAUACACAUGUACAUAAACAUAUAAUCACAUCUGAAAUCUCAUUUUCUUUUUAUUCAACAUAUCUCAAAUCCACUCAAUUCUAAUAUCAUGCAUCUACUAAAAAACAAUAAUAAAAUCAUUAAUCAAACUCAUUCUUAAUAACAAUAAAUAUCAACACACAGAUAAAAAUCAAUUUUCUAGAAAAUCAUUAAAUCGAAGCAUCAAAUACUUAUUUAUCAAAACAUACUGCACUGUAUCAUAAAAUUAGCAUAUACUAUGAAAAUAGAUUUUGUAUAUUCCACUCACAGUGACGAAGUCUAGACUCGGUAUCAACAGUGUCUGCGGGUUAAUUCUCAUUCACGGAUCCUCCUAAUUAAGGAAAUGACAUAAUUAUUCUCCAUAAAUUUGAAAUACAACUAAUUUUACAUAAUAAUUCUCGAAGCGAAUAUCUAUCAACAAUAAACUAUUCCCACAUGCACAAAAUUACCGAAAUACCCCUACAUGCCAAAAUUACCAAAAUGCCCCCAACAUCAUUAUUUUACCAAAUUAUCCUCAGAAUCUUCAAUUAAUAAAUUGUCCUCAAUUCAGAUCACGAAAUUAUCACAAUGUCAGAAAUUACGAAAUUACCCUCGGCACGUAAAAUUACCAAAAUGUCCUUAGCGACUUAAAUUACCAAAUUACCCUCGAAAUAUCAAAUUACCUCACUGCCCUAACAUAAAAUUACCAAAUUAUCCACUGAUUCCAUAAAUUACAAAUUCACCCUAAAUUUUUAUGAAUUUACCAAAUUGCCCGUACCGGUCAACGGUGACCGGACUUCAGUCAACGACAACGGGAAGCUUAGGUCUGAUAGUUCAGACCUCGGUGAGUCCAAUGGUGGUGCCCGUGAGUCCCCACGCGCGGCGAUAGCGGUAGAUCGAAGCUCCAAAAUCUGUGAGCUUUCCGGUGGUCGUUUGCAGCAAAGACGGCGUCCCUGGUGGUCGUGGUCAGUCGGAAAGUGACGAGUGUGAGUUAAGGAACAAGAUCCGAGUGGUGGCGGGAUUAAAGGCGGCGAAAACAGGUCUUGGCCGCGAAUUUUCGAGCUCAAUCGCCGGCUUUCUGGUAGGUUCCCGGCGGCGAGGAUGGCAGGGUUAUGACGGCCGGCUUCCAAGCUUCAUAUCGGUACCAAGCUCGGCCGGUGCGGUGGCCGGAAUCGCGAGAUCCAUUCGGGUCAAAGUCGCGGGUCGGGUCGGAUUCGCGGGUCAAACCGGAUCAAUUCUCUUUCUCUCUCUCUCUCUCACGUGCCCCUAGGGUUGGCAGAAAAGCCCGGGCCGGCCCAGGCCCGCGGGCUUUAAGCCCGGCCCGUGGCUUGAAAGUAUGGGUAAGGGCUCAUAAUUAAUAAAGCCCAUAACAUAUGGGCUCAGUCAAGGGCCUAAAUGAAAAGUCCGGGCUUAAGCCUGGGCUUUAUAAUAAAUAAUAUAAUAUAUAUAUAUUAUAUAUUAUGGAUAAGAGCUUUAUAUAUAUAUAUAUGUAUAUAGUUCAGGUACCCCAUACCCCAUAUUAGGUAUGGGGUACCUAAUCCAUUUUAAUGCUUUAUUAAGAGGUUUAUAAUUAAUAACCAGUCUUGGUGUUCCUCUUUCAAAUGUAUUAGAGAAUUAUAUUUAAGUUUUUAGCCUAUUGUAGUAUUAUGUAUUGGUUAAUUAUGUUUUGAAAAUUUAUAAUUUUAUGGCCGUACAGCAGAAUUUAAAAUUUCGUAAAAGCCCGGGCUUGGCCCGCGGCCCGGCCCAGGCCCGUCAAGGCCCGGCCCGCCCAAAGCCCGCUCAACUUGGAUGGGCUUUGAGAGGGCCUGGACUUAUUUAACAUUAUAUGGGCCUGGUCCUGGGCUUGGCAAAGCCCGGCCCAGGCCCUUAAAUUGCCAACCCUACGUGCCCCCUCUCUCUUUCCUUUUUUGGAAACCAGCUUCCCACUUUCCAUUUAUAGAAACUGGCUUCUUUUUUUUUUUUUUGCACUUAAGCUUAAUACAAAUUAAGCUAAUACCGGACCGUGAGGAAAAUAAAAUCCGACUACCUGAGCUUUUAAUCGGGCUCAAUUUAUCUCGAUUUAAUGUUGUGAUAAUUUUAAAAUUAAUAUCGAAGAGGAAAAAUUAAUUCAUGCACUUAAUUAGGAAAAAUCAAAGUGCAUAUGUUACAUUUUUAUUUUAAUUUCAAGAAAUAGCUAACUUGUUCAUAUGAAUGAAUUGAAGUUUUUUUUUUGGGCUUUCUCAUCUCAUUAAUUCGUGUGAACAUUCAUGAGGGUUAAUUGAAUGAACAAAAUUUUAUUUUCUCAAUAAAUCUGCUAUCAUAAAAAACGUUUUGGCUCCUGUCUAAAAUUUGAAAAUCGUAGCAAAAAGUAUAACAAUAAAAUAAUUCUACAUAAUUUAUACUCACCAAUUAAUCAGGAAAAUAUAUUAGAUAUAACUUUGAUGGAAUCAACAAAGUGAGAUAGAAAGAAGAAAAAGUGUCUAAAGCUUCAAUUUUGUUAGUUUUUUAUGAAUGUCUCACCAUGUUAGGAAAUCAAUAGUGUGUGUGUGUGUAAAAUGAUGAGAUUGAGAAAAAAAAAAUUAAGGUUUAUGGUAUGGAUGUGAUAAAUGGGUUUGUUUAAUUAAUAUUAACAUCUUUGUUCAAUUGUUUAAGGUUUUCCUUUAUAGUUACUUCAAUUUUGGGUAAUUUAGGAAUAAUAAGUUGUUAUUACAAAAUUUAUAUUCAAAGUUGUUUCAAGGGUGAAAAAUCUAUACCCUUAUAAUUUUGUGUGUUAUGGCUCAUCAAGUGUGUUGUAUUACAAGUGAGUGAUUCAAAUUCAAAUAGAUAUUUUCAUUGGAUGUGUUUUUCCACACUAGGGUGGGACUAUAUUGCACAAAUGGAUGGAGAGUGCAGACCCAUAUUCGGCUUACAUAAAUUUUUGUUGGGCUGGAUUAUAUCCAAACAUGAUGCGAACGACACAACAUAAAUCAAACGCGGCUCCCCCUUGAGGUUAGUCAGCUUUGCAUUACAUUUAUUUUAUAUAAUGAUAACAAUUUAAAUGCAUUUAUCAAUUUUAUUAAUAUUGAAAUACACUUUAUUUUAAUUUUCUUUUCUUACCCUUUUCUUUCUCUCUCCUCUCUCUAAGUAAUGCUCUCCGCUUGAAAAAUUUUGGAUUAUUCAAUUUCAAUCGGUUAUAUUUUUACAAUCAACUUUUUCUUUUUCUUUUUCUUUUUCUUUUUCUAGUCCUGUGAAUCGGUUGGUUAGAAAGGAAGUGGUUUAGAAGAGGAACCACUUAGAAAAGCUUUGGUCUUGAAUUAGGCUUUAAUUGAAAAUUGGGUUUAGUUAUAACUUGAAGGCAUGUAAUUAGAAACGUAUUAUGAAUGUUUUUCUCCAGGUCGACAAUUUAGCUAAGUAUAUUUAUUGAACCCAUCAACAAAUAACAAUAACACAGCAAUUUUUUUUUCCCUACCUGAAAUGAAGCUUUUCAUUGAUUAACAAACAAAAGUUACAUUUCUUCAGCAGAACAAUCACAGCUUGAACUAAUAAUUGAAAAUGUUGCUAAAUCGUGACUUUUCAAUAGCUAAGGCACCAAAUCCCAAAAAAAAAUAAUAAUAAGGAAAUUACUUAAGUCACAGGGCUGUGACUUUUUUUUUUUUAAUUUAACUCAUUAACAAUAACAAAGAAAAACAGGAAAUUACUUAAGUCACAGGGCUGUGACAAUAAUAAUAAGGAAAUUACUUAAGUCACAGGGCUGUGACUUUUUUUUUUUUAAUUUAACUCAUUAACAAUAACAAAGAAAAACAUCUCAUUUCCACGUAAAAUGAAACUUUUCGUUGAUUGGAAAGCAAAGAACAAAGAAAAGCUGUAUUUCUUGCAGCCAAACAAUCACAGCUUGAACUAUCAAUAAAAUGUUUAAGUAAGGCACCAAAUUCAAAAAAGAAAAUUACUUAAGGCACAAUCCUGUGACUUUUUAGCCUACCAAUCCAAGCAACGAAGGAAUUCUUAGAAUUCCUGAAACCCAGGAACCCGUGCUCCUUACUCUUGUUCAUGCUAACUGAAUAACCCGCACCAACAUUCAUCACCAUAUCUGCAUACGACCAAACAGCGACCUCAUUCAAUUUUGUUGGCUGCAACUGAUUCUCUCUCACAAUCUCCUCCCACACACUUUCUUUACCUUUCAUAAUUUCCUCCAAUCUCACCCUCUCACUACCCUUUUCAUCUCCAAACCCAUAAUUCUCAAUCUCAAACUGCUCAGCCAACACUUUCCAUAAAUGCUUCCACUUAAAAACAUCUCCAUUGGUGCAAUUGAAAGCUUCGUUUCUUGCAUUAGGAUCCACUGCCGCCCAAAUUUCCUGCUCCGCAAUCAAAUCUGCAUCCGAAUAUUCUGAGAAGCCUUCCCAAGUUUCUUUCGUCCCAGGAAAUAGUAAAGGAAAACCUUCAUGUUUGCAAAUAGCAGCGUACACGCAGAGAGUGCCUACAAUAUUCAUCAAACUAUAAGGUGAAAACCCAAAUAUUCCGAAAGGUCGAUGUAUGGACCAAGUCAAGCCUUCUCUUUUUUCAACUUCUUCAAACAAUAUGUCUUCUUGAGUAUAGUAAAAAAGUGGUACGUUUAACCUCGGCAAAUCCUCUGUAUAAGGAGGUUCGUGAGACGGUAUCUUGCCAAUACACUCGAAUGGACCCAC
rnacentral:lncRNA from 1 species